GAUGAACGCUGGCGGUAUGCCUAACACAUGCAAGUCGUACGAGAGUUUUUAACUCUAGUGGCGGACGGGUGAGUAACACGUGAGAAUUUGCCUUUAGGAGGGGGACAAACAAUUGGAAACGAAUGCUAAUAUCCCAUAUGCUUUCGAGUGAAAUGGAUUUUAUCCGCCUAGAGAGAAGCUCGCGGCUGAUUAGCUUGUUGGUAAGGUAAGAGCUUACCAAGGCGACGAUCAGUAUCUGGUUUGAGAGGACGAUCAGACACACUGGAACUGAGACACGGUCCAGACUCCUACGGGAGGCAGCAGUGGGGAAUUUUCCGCAAUGGGCGAAAGCCUGACGGAGCAAUACCGCGUGAGGGAAGAAUGCCUAUGGGUUGUAAACUGCUUUUGUACGGAACGAAACGGUGAGCUCUAAUACAGUUUGCUAAUGACGGUACCGUAAGAAUAAGCACCGGCUAACUACGUAGCCAGCAGCCGCGGUAAAGUGACUACUG
rnacentral:rRNA from 1 species